CUAGGAGUCCGAAGGCUUGAAUGGGGAGAGCACCCAAACCUCUUUUUACUCCAUGGAACUUUCCACCCCAGUGUUUGAACUGACGACCUUUGGAUUGCGAGUCCAACCGCCGCCAGCGAUUCCACCGGAGUAGGCUUGGUUUGGUGGGUUGUUUGUACUUAUGGCAUGGAGACGACUCCAACACCUGGAAUGACUUAACGGCCUAACAACCAAGGCCGGGACCGACAUUUUACUUCCUCAUCCGAUGGAAGGUUGCAGCAGAUGGGAAUCGAACCCAGAAUCAUCCGCUUACAAAGCGGACAGCGUAACCAUUCGGCCACGCACUGCCACGUAGUGCACACAAUGUAAACAAUAACAAACGCUUUUUGUUAGACUGACCAUUCUGUGCAUUGUCUCGAAGUUUGAUUGAAUUUGGUGGCCAGAAUUUCGAGUUAUAAUUACAAGUUUUUACUGAAUUCGGGCAUGUACGUGUGUCAAACGCGUUCUGACCUGAAAUCCCUUUGGCCAACUGUCGCACUUACAUCAAUUUUUAGGAUGUGUCAAGAUAACAAGACAAGAUUGAAACUUCUUCUAAAACUUCUAUAAAGUGACAACAAUGCAUAGAGUUUUUUCGGUUUUAUUGAAAAUCUCAGGAUUGAAAUAACCGAGGGGCGUGACAUUGGCCUUAAUGAAUUAAUUUUUGCAUUUAAUAUAUUAAGGAAUUAAAUUUCUCGUGUCAUUUGAUAUUUGACAGCACCACACCUGCUUUGAAAACAUUGAUUUGCCUCGUGUCACUUUCGCUGGCAGAACUGUCAAGUUUGUUUUGAUUUAGUUUUAGAAAGAAAAUAUGUCGCGAGCAAGGUCGCGAGUUUAAUUUAAAAAUUUUAUGAAAACUUGCGAUUCGAGGUCGGUGCCACAAUUCUUUUGCUUGGAAACGCAUCUAGUGGAGGAUUGCGGAGGCGAAGGCAUCGGCAGUAUGCCGGACGAUUUGAAGUUCGACGCGCUGAACGACUGGGAAAAGUGCACGAGGAUUUGGACCGGUUGAAACAGAGGGAAGCGAGGUUGCAGCUGGAACUGAACGUGUUGAUGAUGCCGAACAUGCCAGAAACGCAGAGGCCGCAGCAUCCGACGUCACAUCCGGCGAUGUAGCAGCAACAUUUGGAGAGUUCGCAGCAGCGGGGAGAAAAGUGGUUUCUUCAUCGGUCUUCCGCCAAACUUUCCGUUGUCGAAUCCGGCUUAGAUGCGUAUCUGUUUGAAGGACGAUUUCCCGGCAUAUCGAACCAGCCGACGUUGACGAUUCCAGUAAACUUUUCUCCGCCGUUUAACAUGGUUGCCGCCGUUACACUUUAACCAGCGGCUGGUUCAGGAGGUUCAGCAAAAUCAUCCGGUGUUGAAUCACCAACGUUAUCAUCAACAGAAGCAGCAGGGUCAGAAUCCCUGUCAGCAGCAGCCCAAAAACUGCAAAAUUACCAGCAGAACCAGAAAAAGAUGCAGCACCACGAUGGCAGGCUGAACCACUCCGGGGAGUACGAAGCGUACGCAAACACCAUUGUUGUAAAUAAAUACAAGUUAUUUUAAACCUUAGUUUAUAUUUCAAAGCAAUUUUAUUCACCAUAUUCUGGUCACCUUGAUGCGAUAUUCGAGCGGUCGUUGAGUACCUUUAACUACCGUGGCGUUUUCCGAUCGUCCGGCGCGUUGGCGAGUUUGGGAGUAGACUGAUUCUUCCGUCGCAGUCAUUCCAGCGUCUACCCACCCACAUCGGUUCCUGUAUCCACCGCAAAUCCGCCCCCGUUGGCCAGGGUUUCCUGCUAGAGUCAUUUUUCGGCUGACGGUUAUCAAGAAAACUCUGGGACCGCCCGAGAACCAUUAUGCUAGU